CUAACAAGGAUUCCCCCAGUAACGGCGAGUGAAGCGGGAAUAGCUCAAAUUUGAAAUCUCCGACGCUUGCGUCGGCGAGUUGUAGUUGCCAGAAGCACUUUCUAGGCGGAUCGGCNGUGCCUAAGUUGCUUGGAACAGCACGUCGCAGAGGGUGACAACCCCGUCUGUGGCGCGGCCGGCCGCUCACGAUGUGCUUUCGAAGAGUCGGGUUGUUUGGGAAUGCAGCCCAAAACGGGUGGUAAACUCCAUCUAAAGCUAAAUACUGGCGUGAGACCGAUAGCGAAGGAAACGAAUGGACUCAGCAAUGCGCCGUUUGAGAUUCAGCCGGCCGGCGGAUCGGCUCGGGGUUUGCGGAUCUGAAUAGACCGCGGCCACGGGUUCGUUUCUCCUGGCCGUCGCACUUCUCUUGGGCGCGAGUCAACGUCGGUUGGGACUGGGUCUGAAAGGUGCCGGGAAGGUAAGUCCGUGCGUCUCCUCGGGGGCGUUCGGUCCGUUACAGCCCGGUUCUCUCAUGGCUCGGGCCCGACCGUGGCGUUGCAGCGCAUGCCUCUUGUGGCUAGGGUCCCAUCCGUCCGGCCGGUUGUCGAAUGUGGUGGACUGCUUGCAGUGCUCCGCGACUGCUGCCGGUCGUUCGGGUGGUGAUCU
rnacentral:rRNA from 1 species